rnacentral:rRNA from 1 species
UCGGGAAUUUUGGGCAAUGGGGGAAACCCUGACCCAGCAACGCCGCGUGAAGGAUGAAGUAUUUCGGUAUGUAAACUUCGAAAGAAUAGGAAGAAUAAAUGACGGUACUAUUUAUAAGGUCCGGCUAACUACGUGCCAGCAGCCGCGGUAAUACGUAGGGACCAAGCGUUGUUCGGAUUUACUGGGCGUAAAGGGCGCGUAGGCGGCAUGACAAGUCACUUGUGAAAUCUCUGGGCUUAACCCAGAACGGCCAAGUGAUACUGUCGCGCUAGAGUGCAGAAGGGGCAAUCGGAAUUCUUGGUGUAGCGGUGAAAUGCGUAGAUAUCAAGAGGAACACCUGAGGUGAAGACGGGUUGCUGGGCUGACACUGACGCUGAGGCGCGAAAGCCAGGGGAGCAAACGGGAUUAGAUACCCCAGUAGUCCCUGAGCGGGCUGGCAAGGCGCAU